rnacentral:rRNA from 1 species
GACAUAGGUGGCGAACGUUAUCCGGAUUUAUUGGGCGUAAAGGAUGCGUAGAUGGUGGAAUAAGUUAUUGGUCAAAGUCAAGCUCAACUUGGCGGAAGCUGGUAAUACUAUUCUACUCGAGGAUAGGAGAGGUUGGCGGAAUUCUGUGUGGAGCGGUGAAAUGCGUUGAUCUACAGAGGAACACCAAAAAGGCGAAGGCAGCCAACUAUUCUAUUCCUGACAUUGAGG